GAUGAAGAACGCAGCUAAAUGCGAUAAGUAGUGUGAAUUGCAGAAUUCAGUGAAUCAUCGAAUCUUUGAACGCACAUUGCGCCUUCUAGUAUUCUGGGAGGCAUGCCUGUUUGAGCGUCAUUAAACCUCUCUCAAGUAUGAUUACUUGGAUGUGAAGGAAGAGUACCUUAAACUUAAGGAGUGUUCUCCUUUGAAAUUGAUUAGCAGAUGGUAAUGUUAUUAAAUCCCUGAUGUUGUAAGAAAUAACAGUGGUUUUGUAGACUAUUAUCUAGCUUUAAAUUAUAAUUUUUAUUAUGGUUGACCUCAAAUCAGGUAAGGAUACCCGCUGAACUUAAGCAUAUCAAUAAGCGGAGGA
rnacentral:misc_RNA from 1 species